rnacentral:rRNA from 1 species
CAGCAGCCACGGUAAUACGAAGGGGGCUAGCGUUGUUCGGAAUUACUGGGCGUAAAGGGCGCGUAGGCGGCCAUUCAAGUUAGAUGUGAAAGCCCUGGGCUCAACCUAGGAAUUGCAUUUGAUACUGUUUGGCUUGAGUUCGGGAGAGGUGAGUGGAAUUCCCAGUGUAGAGGUGAAAUUCGUAGAUAUUGGGAAGAACACCAGUGGCGAAGGCGGCUCACUGGACCGACACUGACGCUGAGGCGCGAAAGUGUGGGGAGCAAACAGGAUUAGAUACCCGUGUAGUCCCUGUCUCUUAUAC